rnacentral:lncRNA from 1 species
GCAAAGGGCCUCUGAGGGAGUAUUACAGUCGCCUCAUCCACCAGAAGCAUUUCCAGCACAUCCAGGUCUGCACCCCUUGGCUGGAGGGCCGAGGACUACCCCCGCUUCUAGGGUCGGUGGACCUGGGUGUCUGUCUGGACACAUCCUCCAGUGGCCUGGACCUGCCCAUGAAGGUGGUGGACAUGUUCAGGAGCUGUUUGCCUGCGUGUGCUGUGAACUUCAAGUGCUUACAUGAGCUGGUGAAACAUGAAGAAAAUGGCCUGGUCUUUGAGGACUCAGAGGAACUGGCAGCUCAGCUGCAGAUGCUUUUCUCAAACUUUCCUGAUCCUGCAGGCAAGCUAAACCAGUUCUGGAAGAACCUGCGGGAGUCGCAGCAGCUCUGAUGGGAUGAGAGCUGGGUGCAGACUGUGCUCCCUUUGGUUAUGGACACAUAACUCCUGGGCCAGAGGCUAAAACCCCAGGGCCCCUGCUGUCCUUCCCGCAGCUUCUUCUUGGUGUCUCAGGGCAAACCCUUUCGAGCAGCGCCUCCCAGUGGCCGGAAGCUGAAAU